CUCCACUAACCUCAAUUCCCAGUGCUCUGGCAUUUCUGGUCUGCAGCUGGGAGGUGAACUGGUCUCAGUGGCCACCACCUGCACCACCUGAGGACCAUCAGCCAUCCCCAGAGUCACAACAGAGCUGGACCACCUAACAAUCACCCAGGUAGGCAGGAGCAUGCCCUGGGCCUCCUCUAAUAUCUUAAGCCAUGAGAUAAACUACCCCUGUGCCUGCUGGACACCCUGACUCCUUCCCAAACCCAUCCUCAGCAGCUGCUGUUUUCAGUGACGUGGGGUCACUGUGGCUUAUGUCUGGCAAGACAGGAAACAGACAGCAAGACAUGCUGUUUUAUAAGUGUUCCUUCAUCUUUCCAAGUUUGUACUUCCUUUAAAAGACCUUUUAGAUUUUUUUUGUUCCCUCUUUUCAUUAAUUUGAAAAGAGACUAUCAUUGUUAGCCAAGGGAGAAAUAAUCUUCUCCUACCCAAAGUGCUCCUUUUCAACUCACCCCUUAGUGUUUCUGAGCAGGGUUCUAACCUAGCUGAACACCGUUUCUACCAACGAAGUCACUUGGAAUACUUGAGAAGGAAGAUUUGGGACCUAGGGCCUUGAUUUAAAAACCACCCUGUCUGUGCUCCUGUCAAAUUGCAGAGCAGUAGGUGAAACAUACUUGUGGGGUGUGUGUGUGCACCCUUCAUGCACUUGGGAUCAAGGACACACCUGUUCUUUCUGCCAUAUGGUAAAAUAGAAUGUUAGCUGUCAUGCAAAGGAGGGUCUUGGAAACGAGACGUGUCCUGCCUCACCAUGUUGAAUGGACAUAAGUCCAGCCACCUUACUGUGAUAGGAAAUGUGCCCAUGGUGAUUUGGUCCCCCACUGUCUCUUCUGCUUAUGUUCUAUCUGUUCCUUAACAGCAGUCUUCCAAGUUGUUUGAAGUUCUUGCUUUUAGCAAUGGUACUUACACCUCUCCAGGAGUACUGGCUGAAUGGCAGAGGUACAGUGGGGGUGGAUUUCUCAUUAAGCUCUUGAUACCCAUUUUAGCAGAAAUUGCUUUAUCAUGUGGCCCGGGAGGAAACUUCAGUUCUAGAGUGGAGAUAGAUGGGACUAAGACAGGUAAAUUUUGAUGAUCAGAGGAGGUAAGCAAAGGCCCAAGUGUGGAGCAGAGACGGGGAAGGAGGCUGAACAGUGAGAGGCCCUGGAAGGGCAGCAGUUAAGGAUAAAGUGAGAGGUGAACAUGCUGCAAGUGUUGCACCUUCUGCCUUAUUCCCUGUAAAGCCCGGGGCGGGUACUUGAUCUACUCCUCAGCCUUCCAGGAGCAAUAUGAUGAAUGGCUGCUGCUUAAGAGCAGCUUCCUGUACAUAAAGAGCCAUAAGACCUGGCUUCAGCCCAGUUCUGUCAUGUACCAGCUGUGAGAUCUUGGACCAUCCUGAUCUUCAGUUUUUCUAUCUGUCAAAUGACAUCAGGUUUCUGAACCUCUCCCUGGGAAGCAUGUGACUUCACAUACUUCUAUGACAUCAACUACUGCCCACACCAUAGUGUCUUCCAAAUCUAUACUGGCAAAACAGACCUCUUCUCUGAGCUCCUGGACCCUGAGACAAAACUUCUCUGAACAUCUAUUUGGGAUUUGCAGGUCCUUAGAGCUCAGCAUGUGCAGUGUUCAUUCUUUUUCCCACCUGGCCCCAUUUAGGUGAAUGGCUUCGUCAUUCAUGCCUGAGCCCAAAAGAAAUGUGGACAUUUGCUCAAGCUUCCCCUGUCACAUUCAUUCAGUCACAAGUCCUUUAUAAUCUCCCAAAUAUCUCUUGAACCCACCCCUGCUGCGCAUUCCCAUUGUCUCUGCCCCACUUUGAAAUCCCGUCCUCUCUUUCCUGGACCAUGUCAGUAGCUUCUUGUCUCCCAGCCCCAUUGCCUCAGCCCAGUGUCCACAUGGCUUGAUUACUUUCUAAACUCCAAGUCUUACCCAUCCACCUCUCUUAUAACCCUCAGUGACUUAUUUGCCUUAGAGUGAAAGUCCAAAGUCUUAACUAGGUCCAGAAACAUACUCACCUGUGAUCUGGGCCCCAGAUGGUUGUUCUCUUCAUUCCUCUUCUGCCCACCUCACUUCUGUACUUUACACUCUAUCUGCAGCUACACACAACAACUUAAUACCACAAAUGGGCUGACUUUUUCUCCUAUAAUUUGAAGGUCCUGACCCUUUGUGUGACACUACCUCAACCCCCUUUUUCCUGCCCAGCUCCAACUCUCCCAUCAAGGCCAAGAUCCAUACUUUUCCUUUGGAAACCUUCCUGGUCCUCUGGAGCUAGAAUGAGCUUCUUCUGUGCUCUUACCCCAUGAUGCCCUCCUUCCAUGGCACCUAACAUGUUGUGCUCAUGAUGGCCUCCACACUGGGUCCCUAGUGAUCUUUGAGUUGAUGGGCAGCAUGCCCUAGUCAUCUCUGAACUUGGCAUGUCACCUAGUCCCCAAAUAGUUCAUGUUGAGUACAUGGGUGGCUGAGUCCCUGUCACUGCAAAAAGUACUUGUGAGAAUUAAAGGAUGACAAGAGAAUAUACUUUGCAAACUAUAAAUGUGUUACGGAUAUUUUGGAAAGUCAAUGGACUUAGAGAGGAAAUGAGCAUGCUGGGACCACUGGAGAGUGAAACAAAAGAGGUGUUGAGCUGUGAUGUCCUAGGAAGUCAGAAGAUAAUGGGGACAGCUCUAAAGACCACACAUGUGACCUAAGACUACUCAGGAAAGGAAAUGAGCAUCUUAAGAAGUCACUCCAGGCCCCAGGUGCUCCAGGAGGACCAUUUCUAUAUAAUUCUGGUUUGUUCAUGUGACACAAUCAUCCAAUCCGCCACUCCUGCCAUGAGCAACACAUUUAUAACUUGAAGUCAGAGCUUCCUUAUUUUUAUUUUCAUCAGAUGGAACAUGCAGACUUUUAGAACAAUAAGUUCACAAUAUUCAUUAAAGACAUAGAAUAAGUUUUGAUGACAUUUUUCCAGAGCCCUGGAAUGUCCAUAUUCUUCUUGCUGAAGAGAAAGCAAGAGAGAGAAUUUUAUUUGGCUGUAAUAGUUAAUUUUAAUUGUUAACUUGAUUGGAUUAAGAGAUGUCAGUAAUUAAGAGGCUUAUAGGUGUGUCAGUGAAGGUGUGUCUAGGAAUGAUUGGCGUGUGGGAUAGCCAAUUGAAAUGGAGAACCCUCCCUAAGCAUGGGCAGAACCAUCCAAUAGGAUGAUGGCUUGGAUGGAAUAAAAGUUGGAAGAACAAGAAAACAGCAGUGAAUGCAAGCUCAAUUCUUCUUGACCAGGUUCUUUAUUGCUGCUGCGAUCAUCUGAGGAUAUUGGACUCUCGCCUAAUAACCCAGCCUAAUUUCCUCUGAAGAUCAGGAACCAUCUUGUCAAAAGUUUUAAAAGAUUCAUUUCUGUUUUAUGUAAAAUAUUAGGAUUUUUAUUUGGCCUAGCUGUAUUUUGAUGUUUUAAACUUGCUUGGAAUGGCUGCCUGUGCCUUGAACUCACCCAUGCCUGGUUUUCCCUGACCAGAUAGCAACCCUCUCUGAAACCUUAGUGGUGCCUCAUAAAUUCUGAUGUUGGGAUCUAAAUUUACUUCCUAAGUGCUGAACCAUUUAGAUCAUUAACCUACUACCUGCUUUUGUAUUAUGCUUGUCAAAAUUCUGUUAUCUGAAAGUUCUUAAGACACCCCCCUCCUUUUUUGCAACUUUCUGUGCUAUAAAUCUGUGCUCCUAGAGAGCUGGAAUACUGUCUUCUAUCCCACGAAUUUUGGGAGAGGGACGGUCCCAGCUAGUUGGAAUUAUAAGCUUGCUUUAAUUUGAUUUAAAAUUGGAGUAGGUGCUCUUUUCUUUGCAUCGUGGUUUAACAGCUUCUUCACUCUUCCAAAGCAGACCCUGCCAGUAAUUCUCCAGUAGCCUUCCGUCUUGUACUAGGGGUAGCACUGUUGAUCCCUCUUGUUCUGGGGCCUCUUGCACUGUGCAGCUACUGGUUCUUCCAGCUCUUCAGGCUGCAGAUGGCCAUUGUGGACUAUCCAGCUUCUGGUCACAUAAGCCAACCUAGUGAGUCCCCCUUUUAUAAUUAUACUUACUAUGUAUUCUGUUCCUUUAGAGCACCCUGACUAAACAGGAGCACAAACAGUCAAACAAGAGUGAAUAGUGACAGAGACAGAAAUAGAGAGGUAAAACAGGCCCUAAUGAGGGGGCAGAGUGUGGAUGGGGGGCUUGUCAUGAACGUGUGGAUGUUUGUUGAGUGAUGAAUGAACAAGUUCCUGCCACCUCAAAGAAACAUUGUAAAAUCUGUAACCUUGAUGACCUUGGUAGUGUAAUCAUAUUAGCAAUGACAUCAACCUUAAGGAAGAAUAAGAAGAAUAUGAAUAAGAAAUAGGGUAGUAUUAAAAUCAGGAACUCAUAUGUCCGGGAAAGCAGUUAGAGCAUUAAUUAAUUAAUUGUAGCUGCUUAUUAGAUACUCUUGUAGCCUGAAUUUUGUCACCCCAAAUUCUUAUAUUGAAGCUCUAACCCCCAAUAUGACUAAAUUUGUAAAUAGGACCUUUAAGAAGGUAGUUAAAGUCUAAAUGAGGCUAUGAGGGUGGGGACCUAAUCCAAUAGAACUGGUGUCCUUACAAGAAAAGGAAGAGACACCAGAGAUUUCUCUCUCCCCCUGGGUGCAGAGAGAAAAGACCAUGUGAGGCCACCAAAGCUGUCUGCAAACUAAGAAGAGUACUCACAAAAAACCACAUCCAAUGGCCUUGGACUUCCAGCCUCCAGAAUCGUGAGUAAACAAAUGUCUCUUAUUUGUGACAUUCUGUUAUGCUGGGCUAGCCAACAAAUACAAAUAUGUACUAUGUGAAAUGGCCUUUGCCUUUGGAGGUUGUAUGGUUUCAUUGGGAUUUUGUUGUUUGGGUCCCUUUCUUCGAGAUGCCUUUUUUAGUACUGGGAUUGAACCCAGGGACACGUAACCACUGAGCCACAUCCCCAGCCCUUUUUAAAAAAUGAUUUAUUUAGAGACAGGUUCUUGCUGAGUUGCUUAGGGCCUCACUAAUUUGCUGAGGCUGGUUUUGAACUCAGGAUCCUCCUGCCUCAGCCGCCCAAGCCUCUGGGAUUACAGGCAUGCACCACCAUGCCCAGCUUUAAGUAGCAUUUCUUUCCAUGACAAUAUGGUAUAAGAUUAAAGUUGAGAACUUCUCAGAAGAUUUGAGAGAAAACAUCCCUCAUCUUUCAUUAAAGAUCACUUUUACUCCUUCCUAUUCCUCUUUCUCCCUCCAGAAAUUGUACAUCCAUGAGGCAAGUGGAAGAGAAAUCAUUCUCCAGCUUCUGUAGCACAAGCUGUCUGCCACAAAUAGACUCAUGUCCCUGGUAGCUCCAACCAGGCUGAAAGGGAGGCUGUAGGCACUGAAUUUCCCAGCUCUUCAGUUUACCACAUUAGUAUAUUAAAAUUUCUUAAAAUUUAAAUAGGCAUGUGCACACACAUGCACACACAUGACUUUGAGGUUUCUCAGUAUUAUCAUGACUUUCUUUUCACAAAGGUUAAUAUUCAGAAAGGGUUUGAUUUUUCCAAUUGAAGAGUUUUUUUUCUCACAAAUAGUACUGCUUACAUUAUUAAAAUAAGGUACUCUGAGCAUGCAUUUGCAUUGCAAAAGGUAGGGAGAGUUCAAUUUAUAUGAACCAAAUUGGGGCUCCUAGUUCAUUAACUCUGGGCAUUGAGGCCUGUCACCAUGACCAUCAAUUGCAUGCAAUUGUGCCCCAUACGGGGCCCUCCACCUCACAUAUAUGUCCUGUUGUUGAAUGGAACCUGGGCAGGGGUGCCAUCCUGGCAGGUCCUAGAAGAUUUUUAUGGGCAAGUAGAAGUGGGAGUCAGAAUUCAGGAAAGAGGCAAGAUGGAAAUUUGACUGAAGGAAAGGAUACCAUAGUGUGAUGGUUUGGAUAUAAGGUGUCCCCCAAUAAGCUCCUGUGAUAGAUAAUGUAGCAAUGUUCAGAGGUGAAAUUAAGAUUAUGAGAGCUGUAACAUAAUCAGUGGAUUAAUCCAUUUGGUGGAUUAAUAAUUUGAAAGAACUACUGUACUAGGUGAUAACUGUGGGGAAGUGGGGUGUGGCUGGAGGAAGUAGGCCACUGAGGGCAUGCUCUUGACAUUUAUAUUUUAGUGGCUUGUCUCCUCUCUCUAUUUCUGUUUCCUGGCUGCCAUGAGCUGAGCAGCUUUGCCUCUAUUGCCUCUUUCUGCCAUGAUAUUCUGCCUCCCCUGGAGCCCAGAUCAAUGGAAUUGGCCAACCAUGGACUAAACCUCUAAAACUAUGAACCAAAAUAAACUUUUCCUCUUCUAAGUUCUUGUCAAGCAUUUUGUUCCCAGUGGCAAAAAGCUGUCUAUACACAUGGUGUGGUACAUUCUUUCCUCUUCCCUUAGUUUCUUAAGAAAGUCAGGAAGGAAGUGCUGGAGGAAAAGUUAGAGGAAGGAGAACACUAAGCUUUCUAAACUGACAGUUCAAAUUUUAUUUAUGAUUCUUAAAGAAUUACAAAUACUAAUAACAAUGAGUAAGGUUUCACAAAUGUUACAUCUUUGCAACUUAAAAUUGUAUGUGCAAGGAGCUUAAGUCAGACAUCUGCUGGGCUGAGUGACAUUUAGAACCACUCAUUGUAUAAACAGUGUUCCCAGAAGAAGAAAUAUAGAUGGCCAAAAAAAUGUGAAAUACUGAGGUUGCUAAAAAUUAUAGAAAGGUAAUUUAAAGCAUAUAUCUCUCUUUGGGCACUAAAAAUUAUAGAAAUGUAAUUUAAAGCAUAUAUCUCUCUUUGGGUAUAUACAUACAUAUACAAGUAUGUAUCUGUAUAUUUUUUUUUGCCUCAAAGUUCAACAUGUUCAUCCUGACACUCCAGUAAAAUGAAAGAUAAAUACAAGAAAGAGAAAGUCAAAGGAUCUAAGAAACAUUAGAAAUCCCUUAAGGAUGUAAUUAAAAUUAAAAAGGCAUUGUGAUAGUUGUGGUACAUACCCAGAAGACAGUAAUGCAAAAUUUAGAAAGUUGUAUGCUUCAGAAAUUGGUUGAUCUUCAUGAUAUGAUAAAGAGGAUAUAUGUUUCUAAUGUCAACUAGCUAAAAAAUAUCAAAAGCAAGUAGAAACCUCAGAAAAAUCAAGAAGCAGAUAAAAAUCCUAAUCUAAAUGAGAAGCGAUCUAAAUUAAGGCAUAGUUUUGAGGAACUGAUUAGAGUAAGGAAAGACAAUUUAUUUAAUUUUUCCUUUUAAACAUUUUCUUUGGAGUGGCCUAGGAUUCUCUGCUUUCUUACCAGAUUCCUCAGUAAAUGAUUUAAAUAUCUACAGAGUUAUAAAACUCCCUGUGAGUUAUCAACACUUUAAUCAAUCUUUGGACAAAAGCAGAGAAGACAACUUUGGUUUACAAACAGAAUAUAGUUAUUAAAAAUCCAUUAAAUAUAAAAGGGAAUGAUAGUGAUGACGGAAAUCAGGAGGUGAAGGAAAUGGGAGGAAAGGAGGGAGGAGUAGAUGGGGAGUUUCUCAUUCCAGUAGGGAACCAAGGAGAAUACAGACUAAAGUGUGAGAAGAGACAGAGGGUGAGAGGAUGAGGGAGCACAAACCCUCAUGUAGCAGGAGGCAGUAAAUACUGUUGCAAGUUCAUAAAUAAAAGAUUAGAGACAUAACCAUGUUAUUAAUAUUUUCUGGCAACCACCAGAAGAACAUUACCCAGAACUGGCAAAAAUCAGUUAUAAUAGGGAGUGGAUGGAGAGAGGAGGAGUGGAAGGAGGAGAGUUUUCUUAAUGUUCUCCACUACUUGAAUUGGAUUUUCAUCACAAGUAGAUAUUAAUUUUUUAAAAAAUGGAAAUAAUAGCACUGCAAAGUGUUUGCAUUGGCAAAGAAAACAGGUCCUCUUCUACUCUGCAAAAGUGAAAACUGAACUUUAUUUUAUUUAUUUAUUCUUAUUAGUGCUUUAUGGUUUACCAUAGUAGUUGGGUUCAUCCUGACAAUCUCAUACAUGCAUGGAAAUUGAUUUCAGUUUAUGAUUCCCCUUUUUUUCCCCUCUGAAAAUUGAACUUUAACAGGCAAUUCUGUGUUUUAAAAAGCACCAGGUCACUCUCCUAUAGUAACACCAUAUAAGUUCAACUGUGGCUGGCAAAGCAACCAAUGAAGAGGCAGAAGACACACAGGGCUUUUCCACAUCCCAUGUGAGCGAGAACCUGUACGUCCUCGUGCCUUCUCCCUGUGCACGUCUCACACCCUGACUCACUAAGAAGCAUCACCAGCUGCCCAGGUUCUUAGAGUUCUCCCAUCUCCAGUUUUCAUCUUUAUCGUGAUCCCCACAUGGAAGACUGUAUCUGGUGGUUUCUCCAUCCUCACAUGACUCACUUUGGUUUACUUUUGUGGAAGCCACUAAAUUGGGAGCUGGGACUUUUCCCUUCUGCCAGAGUCUGAGGCAAACCACAAUUUUCCAUAGUCUCUGGGUGCACGCCAGCCACUUGGAGACGUGCCCUUGAGUCUGUUCGUCCUCUCCUCGUGGUUACUCAGAAGAGGCCCUGUUUGUGUUUCAAAUGCAGCAACAUAUUAGAGGAGUGGCCCCCACAGCCUGACAUGCUCAUUCUCCCCCAUCAUUGCUGAUGUUAUGGGAAAGAGAACACCUUGGACAGCCUCAGCGAUGGUAGUCCAACUUGACUUGAGUAGGGUAGCCAUGUGCUUCUUGAGAUUUUAUGACAAAACUCCCGGGAAAUGUCUGUGGUAAAACUACAUUUUUGUAGAGUGUAACAGUUUACACACCACCAUGAUAGCCCUAUGAUCUCCAUUUUAAAUGAGAAAAUUGAGCUCUGUGGCAAGUCAGCUGCCCUGAUCACUUGGCUACAAAGUAGUAAUGUAGGGAUUAACAUCCUGAUUAUAUGAUUCCUAGUCUUCUAUAUGAGAUUUUUUUUUAGGACUUCUUUUCACAGUGAAAUAGUUAUAGGAAUUAGACAAGAAGCUCUUUAUUCUGUUUCAGAGUUCCACAGAAAUUUCUGGAAUCUUGCAAUUCACUUUGUUGAGCUUUGGACUGAAUCUCAAGUUUGACACUUAACAAUUAUGUGCCCUUCACCAAGUUCACACAUCCCUGAGUUUCAAUGUCCUCAUGAGUAAGAUGGAGGUAAUUAUACUUAUCUCCAAUAAAACCUCAUCAGGAUUGCCUUGAGGUUUAAAUAAGAUCCUACAGAAAGAAAGGAGCUCAAAGUGGCCAUGCUGAUGGUGGUUGUAAGUGUGAAGAGAUCUGUUUUGAAACACAGUGGACACAUUACACAACCCAUACCAAUUUCUUCUUCAGAUGGGUUCCAAUUAACUACUCCCUUGUCUUCUCAGAUGUCAGUUUGCCUUCAGAAUACCAACUUUAUAAGUAGCUGGCCAAGCCUGUAAUCCUAGCUACGUGGCGGGCAGAGGUGGAAGGUUCAAGGCCAGCCUAGGAAAUAUAGCAAGUCCUUCACCUCAAAAAUAAAAACUGGUUAAAGGGAAUUAAAUACUUAACUAUAAUAUAUGAAACUACUAGAAGGAAACAGGGAAACACUUCAGGACAUUGGAAUGGGCAAAAUUUUUUUUAGGAUAAGAUCCCAAAGCACAGAAAACAGAAGCAAAAAUAGACAAAUGGGAUUACAUCAAACUGAAAAGCUUCUGCGAAGCAAACAAUCAUCAAAGUGAAGAGACAGCUUAUAGAAUGAGGGAAAAUAUUUGCAAACCACAUAUCUGGCAAGGUCCAGUAACCAGAAUAUCUAUGUCUAUAUCUCCAUAGAACCCUAAAACUCAAUAUAAAAAUAACUUGGUUUAAACUUGGGCAAUAGAUUUAAAUGGAUGUUUCUCAAAAGAAGACACACUAAUGGCCAAUAGAUACAUGAAAAAUGCUCAACAUCAUUAAUUGUGGAAAUGCAAAACAAAGCCACAAUGAGAUAUCACUUCGACUAGUAAUAACGGGUAUCAUCAAAAAGACUAAAAACAAGUGCUGGUGAGGAUGUGGAGAAAAGAGAACUCUUGAAUACUAAUGGGAGGAAUGUAAAUUAGUACAUCUAUUAUAAAAAUAGUAUGGGGGUUCUUAAAAAAAUGAAAAUAGAACUACCAUUUGACCCAGCAAUCCCAUUCCUGGGUAGAUAUCCAAACAAAAUGGAACCAGUAUGUCAGAGACAUAUGCACUCCUGUGUUCUUUGUAGCACUGUUCACAAUAUCCAAGAAAGGGAAACAGCCAAAGUGUCCAUCAAGUGAUAAAUGGAUAAAGAAAAUGUGGUAAUACAUACCACUGAACACUGUUUUGUCAUUAAAAGGAUGAAAUCAUGUCAUUUUCAACACAUAGAUGAAACUGGAGGUCAUUGUUAAGUGAAAUAAGUCAGGCACAGAAGGACAAAUACCACAUGAUCUCACUCAUAUAUGAAAUCUAAAAAAAAUUGAUCUCACAGAAAUUGAGAGUGGUUGGAAAAAUAGUGAUUAAAAGGCAAUCAAUACUUGCUCCAUGGCAUUGAAUAGAUAAUUAAAAGUCAUAAAGAGUUAAAACAUUGUUUUUCAUAAACAAGGUUGGGUUUUUUUAAAAGCAAACUCUAGGGCUUGACUUUCCUUUUGGAUAAUAAAGGCUGACAAAUAAAAAAAAAAUAAAGAAAAAAAAUGAAAUUGAGAAUAGAAUAGUGGUUACCAGAGAUUGAAGAGAGUCUGGGGGAGAGAGGAUGGAAAGGUUGGUCAAUGGAUAUUAAGUUUCAGUUAUAUAAGAAUAAUAAAUUCUGGUGUUAUUGUGUAAAAUAGUACAACUAUAGGUAAUAAUUAUGUACUACUGUAUAUUUCAAAAAUCUAGAAGAAAGAAUUUGGGGUGUUUUUAUCAUAAAGAAAUGAUAAAUGUUUGAGGAGAUAGAUAUCUAUUGAGAAUGUUCAUGAUAAAGAUACAGAGGAAAAAGUGUAAGUCAAGACUUACUUACUCAACAGGGAAGGAAGGGAGACUUGAUGCGCCCCCUCCCCACAUCUGCCCAAGUCUGGAGACGUUUUUGGCUGUUACAACUGGGAGGAGUGUGCUAUUGGCAUCUAGUGGGCAGAGGGCAAGAGACUCUGCUAAACAUCCUGCAAUGUAAAGGACAGCUGUCCACCCCCCAAACAAGGAAUCACUGGCCCAAAAUGUUGGUAGUGUGGAGGUUGAGAAAUUCUGGUUUAUAGCUUUCAUCCUUUAACCAAGUAUAUCUACCAUUAAGCAAUGUGACUUUGUUGAAUGAAGAAAACAACCCAGGUGAGAACAGAGUCUUUUGCUAAAAAGUGUAAGUCAUAUGAUUUUUAAAAAUCUUGCAAAUGAGAAGUCUUAGUAUCCCCUACAACUCCUUAACUUAAACUUAACUUUUCUUUCUUUCUUUUUUUUUUCUUUUUGGUGAUGCUGGGGAUUGAACCCAGGGCCUCACAUUUGCUAGGCAAGGCAAGCACUCUACCAUUGAGUUACAUCCCCAGCCCUCCCAAACUUUUCAAGUAUGAAAUGAGCAUAAUUUAAUAGAACCAAAUGUUCUAAAAACUAUACAGAACUUUGCAAAGGCAUUAUUACAGCUUUUAAGCAUAUGUAUUUAUUAUCCUUUAUAGUUUAUAAGUCACAUGAAUUGUCUUAUUCAGUAUUUACAAUUUGAUAUCAUUGUCCCAAUUUCAUAGAUUGUAAGAUGAUAAACUUUAAUAUUUUGGGACAUCUGCUAUGUGUCUAGGCACUGUGCUUAUCACCAGACAGACAGAAGUUUAGUCUUAAGAAGUUCAAAAUCUCCUGUUGGACACCCACAUGUGAUACAUAUACUAAUAGAAGUAGGUAUAAACAGUCAUGGGAGAAUGGGAAGAAAACUGGGGGAGGAAACCAAAGUCAUUUGCCUAAGGUUACAAAACUAGUAAUUGACAGAUCUGGUUCUUGAUUUAAGGUCUUGAGUCUCAAAUCCUCUGUCUUGGCAUAAAGAUAUAAUCUCCUUAGCUUUUCUAGUGAAAUGAAAACAAAACUGAAAAAUAUUUACUCAAAAACUCAUCCAUAAAUUACCAAGUGGGCAAAGUAUAUAGAAUCAUUUUUGGAACUGUGGUCCAGACUGGGAUGAUGACAGGGAAGAUAAGACUUGGCAGAGCAGAAUAAUAAAGGGCGUCUAGUUCUCAACCCACCCACCAGGCCGUCCUCGAGUUUGGACAGUUAAGACCCACACCCCCCGAGAAGCCUGACUUUGAGUUGGAGGAGCUGAGAAAAGAUCUCUUGAGGUUAGGCGAAGUUCCCUAAAUGUAGCCAAGGUUCCUUUUCCUCUCUUUGCAGCUGGUGUGAAGAAUUCUCCAUUUAGGGAGAUAAUCUUAAGUGAGUGGGAGGAGCUGCCUAACAACUGGUGGGGUAAAUAUGGAGGAAGACAGAAACAAAUAGCCAGCUUCUCUAGUGUCCUCUGGUCAGCUCUUUCCCUCCUCCCUGCCUCCCCCAAAUCUGGAUGGAAAUAUGAAGCCACAGUCCACUGGCAAUUGCUCAUUCUGAUGACAAAUAAGAAGCCAGUCCAUCGAAAUAUCAUUUAACAGCUGUUUGCUUCCACAAUCCAGGAGACACGAUUUUGCCAUCUGGAUUUGCUUAAAUGGCCCGAGAUGAGCAUAGUCGGGCAGUGUACGCUCCCAAUAGAGGGCGGAGGCCAAACCAGAGCCGGUCUGGUGAUUAAAGCUCAGGGACUAAGUCACUCCCUUUGUCCUUUCAGACAAGGAUGGGAGUAAAUGGGAUCCACGCCAGUGACAUAAAGUACUCAUUUUCCAUUCAGGCCUAAGAUUUGUCCCCAGGGCCAGGAGCAGCGGGUAAACAUGAAACCUGAUUUGCCUGUGCAGAGUGGAGCUACAAAAUUAUGAUGCUCUCAGGGCCCCUCCUUCCCCCCUCCACUUCCUGGUGAAGAGGCUGAACAGUCUUAACUGUCACCACAUUUAUUCUGUCCAGCCCCUGCCUCCAGGGCCACUGUCAACUGAACCAGAGUGAACACCUGACCCAGGCUGCACCCAGCACAUCGGCUCUUCCGGGAAUUUGGAAUUGGUGCCUUAGAGACAUUGAUCGUUCCAAACCAGAGGUUUUCACCCUUACUCUAUGUUGAAACUGCCUAAGGAAUUCUGAAAACAGGCCCUGCUCCACACCACAUCUCACACACACACACACACACACACACACUCACUCACUUAUGGGAUGGCCACGCCUACACCCCAGAUUCUGACUUUAGUUAUUCUAGGUUAGACUGAACUAAGUUCUAGCUUGUUCUGCAGAGCCUCCUAUUGUAGCUGGGAGAGGCACAAAUGCAGAGAGAAGCAAACACACAGAGAUCCGUGAAGUGGACCUUCAGUGAGAAGUUGGGCUGAGAGACCCCAGUCCUCGAAUGAGCAGACAGUGACUUGAUUCCUGAGAGCUUUCUAAUUUGGAGUCCCAGACUAUCCUCAGGCUCAGUUGUAGUUCCUGCCCUUGAAUAACAUCCUUCAAAACAUUUCUUCUGAAGUUACUGUGAGUAGCUUCUAUUACAUUUAACAGAAUGAACCUUCACCAAGCCAUUCUCACAGCCUGUCCCAAUCCUGCUGAUUUGGCCUCAGAAAUCUUUCUCAAAACUCAUCCUUGUAGGCUUUUCAAUGGUGUUCUCAUUAUCACCCUCCAUGAGUGGACUUUGCCCAGGUCCCCUUCACUCCAUCUAGAUUCCCUAUGACAUAGAUCCAAUCCAAUCAUUCCCCAAAUUAAGAAUCCUUUACUGGUUCCUCCUUGUCUGUUAAAAUAGCAAAACAGUUCUGUAUAAACUGGCAUGUAAAAAAUAUGUCACUAACUAAAAAAAAAAAAAAAAAAAAAAAUCAAGGGGCAUAUAAUAAUUUUGCUUUUCUUUUGAAAAUGUGAUUUAAUUAUGCAUACAUAAAAAAAUUAAUGCAUAAAUUUAGGACAAAGAAAGAAUACCUUUCAAACCAUUAGCUCAGGUUUCCUUGCUCCAGUGUCCUCUCUCCCUGCUCCAUUCCACAUACCCUCUAGCUGUUCUAAACUUCCAUUCUUCCCCCAGCAGAUCACCCUCUUUCAAGUAACUAUGGCAUUGCCUAUUCUUUGCUUCUUACUGAAAUGCCUGUACUCCAUUCUUUGCCUGAACACUUUUACUUUUCCUUUUUUGAUUCAGAUCCAAUGACAACUCCUCUGGGAAGUCUUCUUCAGGUGACCCUACUGCAAGUCAAGGCUACUUCUCUCUCCCAGUGGCCUCAUAGUCGCUAGCUACUAGGUCUACUAUAAUUCCACUUAAUUUUGCUGUGGCUGAUGUGAUCAGACCAUUCUUUUUCCAACUGGAGAUGAGCUCUUGGAGAUGAGGACUGAAGUUUAUUCAUCUUGGUCUUCGGUAUCUAGCUAAGAGCCGGACUAAUAAUGGAUUCACAGAAAUUCUUGGUGGUUUCCUUGGUUGAACAGAUGAACAGACUCUUGCACUCAAGACAGAGCCAAGAGGUAAAGCUUCUGUGCUCUUCCAGAAAAAGUCUACUAGGUCCAAGUAAUCACAGUCCUGUUUCUGAGCUAGCUGGUCCCAUGCAAGGAGUUAUCGUUUUUUGUUUUUUUUUUUUUUUUUUUUUCACCAGCUUGUUGGCUGUCACCAAGCUGAGUGGUAAUUGUUGAUGUGGGCCUUUAAACACCACAAAGAUCAGUUGAAAAUGUGUUGCUAGGAGUGACUAACAAGAAAAUAAUGAGGCUAUGCCUAUUCUGAAAAUUGUCUAAGUGAUGGUGGGUUAUUUAUUUCUGUGUGGGUAUUUGCUUCUUUCUCUCGCUCAUCUCUUAAAAGAGAAAUCUUCAUGGCAGAAUCCUUCUUGCCCCCUCCAAAAAAGAAACUUUUCUUAUUGCUGGGAAAGAAGCUAAUUCAGGCUGUAAAAUAAAAUCCUGAGGGAGGAGAAUAACAGGGCUGAUAAACAAAGGGAAGUCAUGGAGGUAAGGGGUGUAGGAAUUUUCUUCAAGAGGAUAAGGACAAUCUCAUCAGAGCAAAUAUGAGUAAAGGAGAGAGGGAAGAGAAUGGGAA
rnacentral:lncRNA from 1 species